AGAGCAGCGGUUCCUGGAGUCCGCUGGUUCUCGGUUCAAGCCCGAGCCCUGGUUGAGAGGGGGAGUGUGUGGUCUGUAGAGAGACAUGAGUUGAUCGGCAGACCCCCUCUCCCCCUCUUUCCCUCUUUACGAAGUAGCGAACCUCUGCUCACUGCCCGGGCCCUCCGGGAGGUGAGCAGGAGUUGCGCUUUUCUUUCUCUGUUUUGUUUUUGCCAUACCCAAGUCUAUUGGCACGCUGCCAAUCUCACCCUGACAGCUGUCAGGGGUUACAUGAGAGAACUUCAUGUAACCCCUGACAGCUGUCAACCUAAUCCUGACCGUGAGAACUUUUCAGACUCAUAUCGAAAAUGGGUAACAACUCUGAAGGAACUGUGUCUUUUUACAGCGUCGGGGUAGCUCAAAUGGUAGAGUGGCAGGCCAACAUAGCCAGCAGAUCUCGGUUCAAACCCGAGCCCUGACCAUCGAGGAGCACGUGUUAUUCUAGACCUCUCUUCCAGCUAAGAUAGCAUGUGCCGUCCUCUUUGUUUCCCAAGUCAGUAUUCAAGCGCAGACCAUCGCUGCCUGGUGGCUCAGCUACCGUGGAGUGUUUCCUCCCCAUCACCCCGUCAUAAGAGUAUGCAAAUCACAGUCAGUGAAAGCAAGCUCUAAAGCUCUGGUCUGCUGAUUGCCCCUCCGUCGGGGUAGCUCAAUUGGUAGAGCGGCAGGCUCAUCCCCUGCAGGUUCUCGGUUCAAUCCCGGGUCCCGACGCAGAGUUGAGAUCGGGUCGUCUCCCCCUGGCGGAAGGAGGCAAACCCGAGCUCCUCCUUCUUUUCAACCACCUCCCACAAUUUCAGAGUCUUAGCCAGAUUAUCUGAAACUGUGUGAGGUGGUUUUUUCUUUUCCCAGACCCCCAGAUGUCCCAAGUCUUUUUCUUUUGGUGGAAACGCUUGCGAUGGUCUAAACUCUUCGACCCACCCAGUGCCUUUCAAGCAGCGCACAGCCGCUUAUGUACCCAGAAGACCAUGUCUGGGAAUUCCCCAAUGACGCCAAAGUCUAAGUCCCUGUACAGGCUUAACUUUUUUAGAAUUCCCUAAAACACUUGCCAGGGUAGCUCAAUUGGUAGAGCAUCAGGCUAGUAUCCUGUCGGUUCCGGUUCAAGUCCGGGCCCUGGUUAAAGGUGGAGGUGCGGUAACCUCCUAAGAUUACUGUUGGGAUAUCGCGCCCACCUUUAUUGUAAGGGUACUCUCAUCACCAAUGUAAAUUAAUAUGUAGCAAACUUUGGUGUGGGAGUCCUACCCCUUUUGCUCCACAGGCCGCCCACGACCAUCUAGCCUCCCACCAAAACAAGAACAGUUGCAGCUUUUGCUGUUUUCCUUAAUAUUUAUCUUUGUGGUGUUCAGUCAGGCCUUGCUCUCAGUUUCUAUGCCCCCAGGCUGGUUUCAAACACUGGUCAGAAGGCUAUCUUUCUUGGUGGUUUCACUUCUAAACAUGGGCCAUUAAAAGGGAGGGAAUUGGCAUCAUUGAGCAGCGGCGACCAUGCAGCUGGCCACCUUAUGCCUUCUUUCCUGCAUACUGGGCCAAAGCAUAGCUCACUGGCCAUCUGUGGUCAACAUUGAAACCUACCCAUUUCCUGAGGAUGAUACCAAGGAGGAUAUGAGGGACUACUUGUUUCUGGUGCAGAACUGUCUCCUGCAGGACAACUUUAAUGCCACAUAUUGUUCUGAUUCCUUCGAGAAGCUGGAUAAAAGAAGUCAUUUUACCCUACCAGACACCUGCAAUGUCAAGACCACCUUCCUGGUAAACUACAACAGGCAUAAAUAUGGCAUCUUUAAAUUUGAAAGUAGACUCCCACUACCCACCAUGGCUUCUGCCACCUCAGGAAGGGUCAUCAAGGUGUUGGUUCUGGCUGAGGCUGGCCGGCCCUGGAAACGCCACUGGGCCAACCUGGCCAUGGUUACAUACUCUAAUGUGGUUCGACUCACAGACUUUAAUGCUAAAUUUAGAACCAGGUUCUCCAGGAUCUGGUCAGUCACUCUAGAUCGCCACGAAGUCGAUCUGGAUCUCACCUUUGCUGGAUUCUUAUUUGCAGCGCCAGAGAGCGUGCAGCUGACCCUGCUUAUGGAUUAUGUUCCCACAUUUACCUGGUGUGGUCAAAUAUCUCUCAACGACCCUGAUCUGCCAGUGCCAUCGUUUCAAGCCAUCAGAACCUUACCAGUCAUGUGUUUCCCCAUGUGGAGGUAUCUUAAUGGGCAAGACUUUCAUCAUCAAGAUGGGUGCCACCAAGAAUCCAAGUGGUGGAAUCCUACCCAUAUCAUCCCAAGACUGAACCCGGGUACAGAAUCCCAUAAUAUAACACUGAACACUUGUGUAUGUCACGUGAAGUAUAACGACCUGCAAGAACUAGACACCGCCCACAGGAUCAAGAUUCUAACAAUAUCCAAUUUUUUUGGCUUCUACAAACCACUGUAUGUCCUAGUAACAUAUUUUGGUUCAUCUGAUGUUAAUGUUGAAGGGCAGGCCCCACCGCUACAAUACUGCGUGGUCUUUAUACAUAGAGGAAAUUAUGGCUUCUUUAGAACCCGACAACGGGGAGACCCCGACUGCCCUUGUCACUUUUCUUUGGGGAGGGACGAGAUUGUGCUAGUUGGCCAUUAUGUGGACGUGAAGAGAAUUGUAGGUAUCACUAUAUUUUUUGAUGGGCAAGAACACAGGAUCUCUUACCUGGGAAAACUCUCCAGAGCUGCUGUCGUGGGGGAUGAUACAACCAACAAAAUUAUUUUUCCUGGGCAGCAGUCCUAAGCCUGAAUACAUGUUUACUGGGGACCAGAUGUAAAGCCACCACUUCCCACUGUACAUUAUUAUGCAAAUAAACUCAGUGCG
rnacentral:tRNA from 1 species